rnacentral:rRNA from 1 species
AAUAGAUACCCCGGUAGUCCUAGCCGUAAACGAUGAACACUAGGCGUAGUCGGUAUCGACCCCGGCUGUGCCGUAGCUAACGCAUUAAGUGUUCCGCCUGGGGAGUACGGCCGCAAGGCUAAAACUCAAAGGAAUUGACGGGGGGCCCGCACAAGCAGCGGAGCGUGUGGUUUAAUUCGUCGCAACGCGAAGAACCUUACCAGGGCUUGACAUGUGGCGGAAAACGGCGGAAACGUCGUCCUCCCGCAAGGGACCGUCAUGCAGGUGUUGCAUGGCUGUCGUCAGCUCGUGUCGUGAGAUGUUGGGUUAAGUCCCGCAACGAGCGCAACCCCCGUGGCAUGUUGUAUCUCUCAUGCCAGACUGCCGAGAGAAACUCGGAGGAAGGUGGGGAUGACGCCAAGUCAGCAUGGCCCUUACGUCCUGGGCUACACACACGCUACAAUGGCCGGUACAACGGGUUGCCAAACCGCGAGGUGGAGCUAAUCCCUUAAAGCCGGUCUCAGUUCGGAUUGCAGGCUGCAACUCGCCUGCA